AACCCAGUUUCGGGGACCUUGGUACAGGCAGGCCGGGGAAUCCCCUUCUUUCUUUGGGAGCCUCGGUACAGGCAGGCCGGGACCUCCCUUCUUUCUUCGGGGACUCUGAUACAGGCAGAUCAGAUAAUCCCCCUUUUCUUCGGGAGCCCUGGUACAGGCAGGCCGGGAACUCCCUCUUUUCUUCCUAACGC
rnacentral:ncRNA from 1 species